CAAUAGCGUAUACUAAUGUUGUUGCAGUUAAAAAGCUCGUAGUUGAACUUCUGGUAGGAGUGUCCCGGCCUUUUUGUUUUUACAAAUUGUAUGCUGUGUGACAUCUCUGGCCAUCCUUCUUCUUUGUUUAAAGAAGAUCUUUCACUGUAAAAAAAUUAGGGUGUUCAAAGCAAAAGUUUCUUUGGAAUAUAUUAGUAUGGGAUGAUAAGAUAGGCUCUAGAUGCUAUUUUGUUGGUUUGCACAUUUAGAGAAUGAUUAACAGGGACAGUUGGGGGUAUUCGUAGUUACAUGUCAGAGGUGAAAUUCUUGGAUUUUGGAAAGACGAACUACUGCGAAAGCAUUUACCAAGGAUGUUUUCAUUAA
rnacentral:rRNA from 1 species